rnacentral:lncRNA from 1 species
ACUGGUGUCACAGGGGACAGCACGUCUGAGGCAGGACAUGCACCUCAAUUCCUCCAUCCACUUUGUAGUUCUUGCUGAUAUGAGUAGUGAGGGUCAGCUGUGAGCCAUGUGAAUGAUGGCUAAAUAACUAUGAAAUUCCCUUUUCCUGGCACGGUGUUGUUUUAAGGCUUAGUGUUUUUCUUCCUCUUUUUGUUCUGUGACACUUUCCUCUCCGUGCUCUUUAUCACUUACAACUCCCAGUGACUUUUCCUCCUGCAGUCAGCAGAGGGAGAUACGUCCCUUACAUAAAACUACAACAAAUUAGACACGGAAUCGUGCUCACUCCUUGUGCACUCACAGGGCCCUCUGCAGCUCAGCUUGUGAGACUGAGGAGCCGCUGUCACAGGUGCCAUCUCUACACCGUGUAACUGUGGGCUUUCCCCACCCAGCAGUGCAGAUCUCCCCCAUGAUGUCACAGUCUGGGAGGUGACAAAGGGGAGCAGCCCGAAGCCCCUGGAGAAGCAGCGCUGUGUCCGCCAUGUGGGUCACGCUGCUCUUCUUGGUGCUCUUCCUGCCUCCGACUGUGAUGACCAGAGCGUUGAUUUUCCCUUUCCGUGAUCUUGAGCAGGAUCCGUCAAGGAGGCAUUCGCAGAAUUUGCAACAGCACUGUACAGAUGCCCUUUCUGCCGAAGGAGAUGAAGAGAAGAUCUCUGAGGAAGCAGAGGCACUAGAAUCCAGAUUUGGACCCCAUUAUCGUGCCCUACAGAACUACAAUGAGGAGCAGCCUUUGAAUGUGUUGGACAACGCUGAUUUGAUUCAAGGGAACAAAACUGCUGUAGUCAUAGAAGAAUGUUUUAAAGAGAAUGUGAUUCUUGCUGCGUCAUCUAUAGCUCUUGUGAUGUUCUUUGUACUUCUGGCUUCUAUUUGUGUGUUUUUUACAAAACGCAGGAUGAAAAAAGGGUAAGUGUUCCAGUCACGAGCUGUGUCUGUGCUGUUUGGAUCCCUUUACAACAAGUAAAGUAGUAAAGUGAGCCCGCUUUCCUCCAGAUACCACAGGCGGAGCUCAGGAAGGCGGGCAGACGCUCCCCAGCAGCCAGAGGUGCUGCGGCCUUCCCCAGCGCUGUGGGCCGCCCUGGGCCUGCCUUUGUGAGGGUCCAGCU